UACGGAGGGUGCAAGCGUUGUUCGGAUUUACUGGGCGUAAAGCGCGCGCAGGCGGAUAAUCAAGUCAGAUGUGAAAUCCCGGGGCUCAACCCCGGAACUGCGUCUGAAACUGGUAAUCUAGAGUCUCACAGGGGGUAGGGGAAUUUCACGUGUAGGGGUAAAAUCCGUAGAGAUGUGAAGGAACACCGGUGGCGAAGGCGCCUACCUGGAUGAGUACUGACGCUGAGGCGCGAAAGCGUGGGUAGCGAAAGGG
rnacentral:rRNA from 1 species